rnacentral:rRNA from 1 species
CAAUAGCGUAUAUUAAAGUUGUUGCAGUUAAAAGCUCGUAGUUGGAUUUCUGGCAGGAGCGACCGGUCAUGCACUAUGUGCGUGAACUUGUGUUGUCUCUGGCCAUCCUUGGGGAGAUCCUGUUUGGCAUUAAGUUGUCGGGCAGGGGAUACCAUCGUUUACUGUGAAAAAAAUUAGAGUGUUUAAAAGCAGGCUUAUGCCGUUGAAUAUAUUAGCAUGGAAUAAUAAGAUAGGACUUCGGAACUAUUUUGUUGGUUUGCGUUACGAAGUAAUGAUUAAAUAGGGACAGUUGGGGGUAUUCGUAUUUCGUUGUCAGAGGUGAAAAUUCUUGGAUUUCCGAAAAGACGAACUACUGCGAAAAGCAUU